UAUUUGUGGAUACAUGCUAUCAGAUAAUAGCUUCUCAUGCUUUCGCCGAAAAGCAUUUUACAAAUCUGACUCGGUAACUAGAUUCACAAUGAGGGUAGCUUUAAUUCAGUAUAUUGUAUGUGCAUUUUAAUGAAAGUUUGAGUUUUAUCAAAAACUAUACGUGGCACAAUUGAAAUUUCCGCUGAUAUAUGUUCCCACCACGGGACCACUGCCCUAACAAGUUUAAAAUACAUUUUCAGAUGUUCCGAGCUCGGCCUCCUGAUGUCGUUUGACCCCACAUAGGUUUACGACAGUGUCAGCUCCCGGCAUCUAUCGUAGAACAGUCGGAAACAGCCUACUUAUGUCCUGUACUCGUGCUCCUGGGUAGCACAGAGUUUCUGCCUUGGGGACCGAGAUGUUUCUCACCAUAGAGCUGCCUAUGAUGACAGCUGGCGAUGUUAAAUGGGCCGGUCUCUCAGGCAGCCUCACGGUCUGGUGAGGGUGGGAGCUCCGAGGAUCUGAACCCGAGGUAGAAGCCACCAGAGAGGGAGACAGAACAGAGGACGAAUACGCAGGAACAUCUGGAUCCGGGGCGUCAAAGACGUUUCUGGUCUGUGUCAGGUCCGGGCUCACCAUCUCCAAACAGAUCCUCGUUAUCAGAGGACUCUUUCUUCGACCUCCGCGGCGAGUGACGUAUCUCCACGGCUGGUUGGGUCGAGAACAGCUCCGUUCUCCAGGGAAUGAGUCGGGGUCUCCCCCCUUCAUUCUCCAGCUCCAUUCUCCAGUUGGCAGCCGCACAUGUAACAUAGAGAAGACUAGCAAGGGGACCCUCAACAUCACGCAGGCAUGCCCUCACUGUGAGCUGUAAAUGGAGCAGUGAGGACACUUGAAUCAGUAUGUUUGAUGAGGGGCCAGAAGCUGAUCUAGGCUGCCAUGCCCAUCAAUGUGGCGCUGGCAAAGACCUCACCUCUAGACCUCACCUCCAGCUUCACCCCUUGCCUGCUCACCAAUGGCCGUCAAUGGGGAGACCGGGAUUAGAUGCAUCUAUGGAACCAGCACUUGGAGACUUGCAACAUGAUGUGAUGUAGUUCUGACCGACAGAGAGGCUUGAUACUGACGUCUCUGAAUGGAGAGAGACCUGGCACUCAACACAUCC